rnacentral:rRNA from 1 species
CGGUCUUGCUGUCACUUAUAGAUGGACCCGCGCCGUAUUAGCUAGUUGGUGGGGUAACGGCCUACCAAGGCGACGAUACGUAGCCGACCUGAGAGGGUGAUCGGCCACACUGGAACUGAGACACGGUCCAGACUCCUACGGGAGGCAGCAGUAGGGAAUCUUCCGCAAUGGGCGAAAGCCUGACGGAGCAACGCCGCGUGAGUGAUGAAGGUCUUCGGAUCGUAAAGCUCUGUUGUUAGGGAAGAACAAAUGUGUAAGUAACUGUGCACAUCUUGACGGUACCUAACCAGAAAGCCACGGCUAACUACGUGCCAGCAGCCGCGGUAAUACGUAGGUGGCAAGCGUUAUCCGGAAUUAUUGGGCGUAAAGCGCGCGUAGGCGGUUUUUUAAGUCUGAUGUGAAAGCCCACGGCUCAACCGUGGAGGGUCAUUGGAAACUGGAAAACUUGAGUGCAGAAGAGGAAAGUGGAAUUCCAUGUGUAGCGGUGAAAUGCGCAGAGAUAUGGAGGAACACCAGUGGCGAAGGCGGCUUUCUGGUCUGCAACUGACGCUGAUGUGCGAAAGCGUGGGGAUCAAACAGGAUUAGAUACCCUGGUAGUCCACGCCGUAAACGAUGAGUGCUAAGUGUUAGGGGGUUUCCGCCCCUUAGUGCUGCAGCUAACGCAUUAAGCACUCCGCCUGGGGAGUACGGUCGCAAGACUGAAACUCAAAGGAAUUGACGGGGACCCGCACAAGCGGUGGAGCAUGUGGUUUAAUUCGAAGCAACGCGAAGAACCUUACCAAAUCUUGACAUCCUUUGACCGCUCUAGAGAUAGAGUUUUCCUCUUCGGAGGACAAAGUGACAGGUGGUGCAUGGUUGUCGUCAGCUCGUGUCGUGAGAUGUUGGGUUAAGUCCCGCAACGAGCGCAACCCUUGAACUUAGUUGCCAUCAUUCAGUUGGGCACUCUAAGUUGACUGCCGGUGACAAACCGGAGGAAGGUGGGGAUGACGUCAAAUCAUCAUGCCCCUUAUGAUUUGGGCUACACACGUGCUACAAUGGACAAUACAAAGGGCAGCGAAACCGCGAGGUCAAGCAAAUCCCAUAAAGUUGUUCUCAGUUCGGAUUGUAGUCUGCAACUCGACUACAUGAAGCUGGAAUCGCUAGUAAUCGUAGAUCAGCAUGCUACGGUGAAUACGUUCCCGGGUCUUGUACACACCGCCCGUCACACCACGAGAGUUUGUAACACCCGAAGCCGGUGGAGUAACCAUUUUGGAGCUAGCCGUCGAAGGUGGGACAAAUGAUUGGGGUGAAGUCGUAACAAGGUAGCCGUAUCGGAAGGUGCGGCUGGAUCACCUCCUUU